CCUACGGGAGGCAGCAGUGAGGAAUAUUGGUCAAUGGACGCGAGACUGAACCAGCCAAGCCGCGUGAAGGAUGACGGCCCUGAGAGUUGUAAACUUCUUUUGUAAGGGAACAAAGGCGGCUACGCGUAUCCGGAUGACUGUACCUUAAGAAUAAGCAUCGGCUAACUCCGUGCCAGCAGCCGCGGUAAUACGGAGGAUGCGAGCGUUAUCCGGAUUUAUUGGGUUUAAAGGGUGCGUAGGCGGUCUGUUAAGUUAGCGGUUAAACCCCGGGGCUCAACCUCGGAAUCGCCUUUGAUACUGUCCGUCUAGAGAGUGAGUGCAGUAGGCGGAAUGUGCGGUGUAGCGGUGAAAUGCUUAGAGAUCGUGCAGAACACCGAUUGCGAAGGCAGCAUGCC
rnacentral:rRNA from 1 species